AGGCUAAAACUCUAGGAAACUCACCGAAAACCUUGCACCCACUUUUCUUUCUUUUCUUUCUUUUUCUCUUGGAAGGAUAUGGACUUCCUUCUCAUGCACAAGACUUUUCACACCCCAGAAUUUUUCUUCAAAAAUCUUCUUCAUUGCACGUCCCACUCUUCUCCUCCUUUUAUAACAACGUCAAACGUCUUAUCCAAAAGAAAGGAUAAAGAUGAGUAAUUGCACAUUUGAAUUCAAAUCAAAUUUUGAAUUCAAA
rnacentral:lncRNA from 1 species